CUCCAGUUUCCCCAAGAUGGGAAAUACAUAGGUUACUACCUGAAUGCCACGAUCCAGGCUCUUUUAGCUAUUAAGCCAUUCCGGGACUAUGUCCUCAACUGAUGGGGAAAUAGCAGCUCUCCUCCCAUUCUCAGUUUCCCCAACCUGGCGAAAACCUGUUACAUGAACGCCACCAUCCAGGCUCUUCUGGCGAUAAAACCGUUCACGAAUGAUGUCCUCAGCUGCUGGGGAAAUGGUAGCUCUCCUCCCAUUCUGAGGAGCAUGGCAGAGCUCCAGAUGGUGAGGCAGACCAGCGCCCAAGGGCAUGACGCUGACCGCCAUCC